rnacentral:rRNA from 1 species
GAGCACGUAGGGGGGUUUGUAAGUCAGAUGUGAAAGCCUUCUGUUCAACGGGAGAAUUGCAUCUGAAACUGCUAAUCUUGAGUAUAGGAGGGGAGAAUGGAACUUCUGGUGGAGCGGUGAAAUGCGUAGAUAUCAGAAGGAACGCCGGCGGCGAAAGCGAUUCUCUGGCCUAUUACUGACACUCAGUGUGCGAAAGCUAGGGGAGCAAACGGGAUAGAUACCCCGUAGCCUGCAAU